rnacentral:rRNA from 1 species
GAUGAACGCUGGCGGCGUGCCUAAUACAUGCAAGUCGAGCGAACGGACGAGAAGCUUGCUUCUCUGAUGUUAGCGGCGGACGGGUGAGUAACACGUGGAUAACCUACCUAUAAGACUGGGAUAACUUCGGGAAACCGGAGCUACUACCGGAUAAUAUUUUGAACCGCAUGGUUCAAAAGUGAAAGACGGUCUUGCUGUCACUUAUAGAUGGAUCCGCGCUGCAUUAGCUAGUUGGUAAGGUAACGGCUUACCAAGGCAAUGAUGCAUAGCCGACCUGAGAGGGUGAUCGGCCACACUGGAACUGAGACACGGUCCAGACUCCUACGGGAGGCAGCAGUAGGGAAUCUUGCGCAAUGGGCGAAAGCCUGACGGAGCAACGCCGCGUGAGUGAUGAAGGUCUUCGGAUCGUAAAACUCUGUUAUUAGGGAAGAACAUAUGUGUAAGUAACUGUGCACAUCUUGACGGUACCUAAUCAGAAAGCCACGGCUAACUACGUG